rnacentral:rRNA from 1 species
GCCGUUCUCAGUUCGGAUCGGAGUCUGCAACCCGACUCCGUGAAGCUGGAUUCGCUAGUAAUCGCGCAUCAGCCAUGGCGCGGUGAAUACGUUCCCGGGCCUUGUACACACCGCCCGUCAAGCCAUGGGAGCCGGGGGUGCUUGAAGUGCGUCGCCGCAAGGCGCGCCCUAGAGCAAACCGGUGACUGGGGCUAAGUCGUAACAAGGUAGC